UAGCGGCGUGCCUAACGCAUGCAAGUCGAACGGGNAAGCUGUCUUCGGGCAGCGGUAGUAGUGGCGAACGGGUGAGUAACACGUAGGUGACCUGCCUCAGAGAGGGGGACAACCAGUGGAAACGCUGGCUAAUACCCCGGAUGUCUAUCUUAUUAGAAAGGUAAGACUAAAGCUCCGGCGCUCUGAGAGGGGCCUGCGGUCCAUCAGCUAGUUGGUGAGGUAAUGGCUCACCAAGGCAUAGACGGAUAGGGGGCGUGAGAGCGCGACCCCCCACACUGGUACUGACACACGGACCAGAUACCUACGGGUAGCAGCAGCGAGGAAUAUUGCGCAAUGGGGGAAACCCUGACGCAGCAACGCCGCGUGAAGGAUGAAGGCCUUCGGGUUGUAAACUUCUUUUCUGAGGGAAGAGGAAGGACGGUACCUCAGGAAUAAGGCCCGGCUAACUACGUG
rnacentral:rRNA from 1 species